rnacentral:rRNA from 1 species
GUUUGAUCAUGGCUCAGGAUGAACGCUAGCGGGAGGCUUAACACAUGCAAGUCGAGGGGCAGCACGAGAUAGCAAUAUUUUGGUGGCGACCGGCGCACGGGUGAGUAACACGCAUGCAACCUACCCUGUACAGGGGGAUAACCCGGAGAAAUUCGGACUAAUAUCCCAUAAAGAUAUGAAGAGGCAUCUUUUUAUAUUUAAAGUUUCGGCGGUACGGGAUGGGCAUGCGGAACAUUAGCUAGUUGGCAGGGUAACGGCCUACCAAGGCUACGAUGUUUAGGGGACCUGAGAGGGUGAUCCCCCACACUGGUACUGAGACACGGACCAGACUCCUACGGGAGGCAGCAGUGAGGAAUAUUGGUCAAUGGGCGGAAGCCUGAACCAGCCAUCCCGCGUGCAGGAAGACGGCGCUAUGCGUUGUAAACUGCUUUUCCGGGGGGAGAAUUGUCACGACGAGUCGUGGCUUGACGGUACCCUGGGAAUAAGCAUCGGCUAACUCCGUGCCAGCAGCCGCGGUAAUACGGAGGAUGCGAGCGUUAUCCGGAUUUAUUGGGUUUAAAGGGUGCGUAGGCGGAUAGAUAAGUCAGUGGUGAAAACCUGCAGCUUAACUGUAGACUUGCCGUUGAUACUGUCAGUCUUGAGUAUGGUCAAGGUAGGCGGAAUGUGUAAUGUAGCGGUGAAAUGCUUAGAUAUUACACAGAACACCGAUUGCGAAGGCAGCUUGCUGGGCCAUUACUGACGCUGAUGCACGAAAGCGAGGGGAUCGAACAGGAUUAGAUACCCUGGUAGUCCACGCCGUAAACGAUGAUUACUCGCUGUUGGCGAUACACAGUCAGCGGCUAAGCAAAAGCAAUAAGUAAUCCACCUGGGGAGUACGGCC